rnacentral:rRNA from 1 species
GUCGAGAAUCUUCCGCAAUGCGCGAAAGCGUGACGGAGCGACACCGCGUGAUGGAUGAAGUCCUUCGGGGCGUAAACAUCUUUUAUAAAGGAGGAAAUUUUUGACUUUACUUUAUGAAUAAGGGGCUCCCAAUCUCGUGCCAGCAGGAGCGGUAAUACGAGAGCCUCAAGCGUUAUCCGGAAUCAUUGGGCGUAAAGGGUGCGUAGGUGGUUUGAUUAGUCUCCCGUUAAAACUUCGAGCUUAACUCGAAAAGAGCGGGGGAAACGGUCAAACUAGAGUAUGUGAGAGGUGUGUGGAACUCAUGGUGUAGGGGUGAAAUCCGUUGAUAUCAUGGGGAACACCAAAAGCGAAGGCAGCACACUGGCACAUCACUGACACUGAGGCACGAAACCUAAGGUAGCGAAUGGGAUUAGAAACCCCGGUAGUCC